CCUACGGGAGGCAGCAGUGGGGAAUAUUGGACAAUGGGCGAAAGCCUGAUCCAGCAAUGCCGCGUGAGUGAUGAAGGCCUUAGGGUUGUAAAGCUCUUUUACCAGGGAUGAUAAUGACAGUACCUGGAGAAUAAGCUCCGGCUAACUCCGUGCCAGCAGCCGCGGUAAUACGGAGGGAGCUAGCGUUGUUCGGAAUUACUGGGCGUAAAGCGUACGUAGGCGGUUAUUCAAGUCAGAGGUGAAAGCCUGGAGCUCAACUCCAGAACUGCCUUUGAAACUAGAUAGCUAGAAUCUUGGAGAGGUGAGUGGAAUUCCGAGUGUAGAGGUGAAAUUCGUAGAUAUUCGGAAGAACACCAGUGGCGAAGGCGACUCACUGGACAAGUAUUGACGCUGAGGUACGAAAGCGUGGGGAGCAAACAGGAUUAGAUACCCUGGUAGUCCACGCCGUAAACGAUGAUAACUAGCUGUUCGGGCUCUACGAGCUUGUAGUGGCGCAGCUACGACAUUAAGUUAUCCGCCGUCGGGGAGGUACGGUCGGCGAGAAUUAAAACGUUAAAAGGUAAAGUUAGUACGGCGUGAGACGUGCCGAACGGACGACCGACGAGGGGAGGUUAGG
rnacentral:rRNA from 1 species